rnacentral:rRNA from 1 species
UGCUAUACAUGCAAGUCGAGCGAACGGACGAGAAGCUUGCUUCUCUGAUGUUAGCGGCGGACGGGUGAGUAACACGUGGAUAACCUACCUAUAAGACUGGGAUAACUUCGGGAAACCGGAGCUAAUACCGGAUAAUAUUUUGAACCGCAUGGUUCAAAAGUGAAAGACGGUCUUGCUGUCACUUAUAGAUGGAUCCGCGCUGCAUUAGCUAGUUGGUAAGGUAACGGCUUACCAAGGCAACGAUGCAUAGCCGACCUGAGAGGGUGAUCGGCCACACUGGAACUGAGACACGGUCCAGACUCCUACGGGAGGCAGCAGUAGGGAAUCUUCCGCAAUGGGCGAAAGCCUGACGGAGCAACGCCGCGUGAGUGAUGAAGGUCUUCGGAUCGUAAAACUCUGUUAUUAGGGAAGAACAUAUGUGUAAGUAACUGUGCACAUCUUGACGGUACCUAAUCAGAAAGCCACGGCUAACUACGUGCCAGCAGCCGCGGUAAUACGUAGGUGGCAAGCGUUAUCCGGAAUUAUUGGGCGUAAAGCGCGCGUAGGCGGUUUUUUAAGUCUGAUGUGAAAGCCCACGGCUCAACCGUGGAGGGUCAUUGGAAACUGGAAAACUUGAGUGCAGAAGAGGAAAGUGGAAUUCCAUGUGUAGCGGUGAAAUGCGCAGAGAUAUGGAGGAACACCAGUGGCGAAGGCGACUUUCUGGUCUGUAACUGACGCUGAUGUGCGAAAGCGUGGGGAUCAAACAGGAUUAGAUACCCUGGUAGUCCACGCCGUAAACGAUGAGUGCUAAGUGUUAGGGGGUUUCCGCCCCUUAGUGCUGCAGCUAACGCAUUAAGCACUCCGCCUGGGGAGUACGACCGCAAGGUUGAAACUCAAAGGAAUUGACGGGGACCCGCAC